rnacentral:lncRNA from 1 species
UGGUGGGAUAAGGUUGAAGACACAGCUUUUCUCCUUUCUUACCACCAGCUAUCUUGCAAGGACAUCAGGCGAGGAUGGGAAAACGCUGAUUGGAGAUGAGAACAGUUCAGACUGACCUCUAGAUCACAGGCCCUAAAUUCCAGAGGGGUGUGUCUGUGUGCAUUCUCUUCUCUUUUCUGACAGGGAAAACUGAUGAUGAUAUUUAGAAGGACUUGUUUGUCUCCCACUUGAAGGGUAGAUAAGAUGCUGUUCUUUGAAGUGAGCUGAGAGAGUGUAAGUGAAAGAGAGAAGACCUUAAACCCGGGAAAUAGACUGUGAAAAGACAAUCCUUUGCUGAAAGAUGUCUUCUGGUUAAAGUGUCAUCCAGUUCAAGAUCAGGUUAAAAAUAAUGAAAGAUCAGAAGGAAGGACAGAAUUUUUGGAGUUGUCUGUCUUCUGGACAGCAGAGACAUGUUGUUUAGGGCAGCUAAACCUUCAACUUGUCCUAGUAAUGAACUGACAACCAGUUCAGUUAUCCCUUGAGUAUCAGCGACACCACAUACUCAGACUCCUGCAACAUGAAGAAUCUCAGGAAGAUCCAAUAAACAAGUUGGGCUGGUUGCACAUAACUCUAGUUGCCUUCAGACCCAAUACCCUUGGGGGGUCUGAACUUGUAGAAGGCAUCACCAAAUAUCCUUGGCUGAAUUUCCACCAGUCUCAAGCAGAAUGUAAGAGGGAAUGGUGUACUAAUGAAAGGAUACUAUUCCUGCUCCACAAUGGAAAUAAAAUCUUGUGAUUCUACCAUGAUGCCAAUUUGUCUGGCCACUUCAAAUUUCUAAAGACUGUUGCACUCAAUACACAGUUCCUACUGGAACUUUGAACAUUGUCAAGGCCUAUCCUACUUGCCCCUUCUUGAAAUGGGCACUGGAUAAGACUUUUGCAACUUUUGCCAACUCCACAACACAUAUAGAC